ACCAGUGUUACCAGUUUGCUUCUCUCUGCCUCAGUUUUCUUAUCUGUAAAAUGGGGAUGAUAAUAGUAAUUCCUCUUAGGUUUUUUGCAAGGAUAAACUGACUGAUUCUUUUUUUAAAAAGUGCUGGCAUUUAGUAAUCACCUUAUAAAGAUUAAUUAUUGUAAGGAAGGAAGGACAGAAUGGGUACACAGAGGGCUUGUAAAUAGGAUAGAAUGGUUCUGAAUAUGACCUUGCAGGGCAGGAAAGGCACCUAGAGGGAUCAUGACUGUAGAGGCUCCAGUUUUAUGAAAGGUCAGAGCUUCCCUCACAUUUGUCAGGGGCCUGGGACCCCACAGCCUGUCUUGACCCACCUCACAAGCCCUGGGACGAACCUUGCCUCUCCUCCACUGGAACUGACCUCCCUGUCCCCCAGAGGCACAGAACUCCUGUGAAUUCCCUCCAGGCCUGCAAAAGCUCCGGGAAAUCUGUCCUUGCCCAGCAGAGCUCCCUAAAGGCAGAGACAAGCCUUAGUUUUUUGUGGGAUCUUUGGUGCCCCACGUACUGGGCAUGUCUCCAGAGAGCGGCAGGAAACUGAGGACCAGAGAGGCUGUCCAGCCGGCCUAAGGCCACACAGAAAGUCAGAGGCAGCACCAAGGUUGGAUCCAGUCUCUUGAUUCCCACUGGAGGACUCUUCCUGACAUUGGGCCGCCUGUCAUCCUUCACCAGAACUGCUAUGGUGGAGGAAGGACACCAGCAGUUACUGAGCAUCUACUAUGUACAGUGUACUUUGUAGGCUUUUGUGUGUAUUAGUUCAGUCACUCCUCCUGACACAUCCGGAAGAAGUGAUGCUAUGCUGUCCAUUUUACAGGUGGGAAAACUGAGGCUAAGGAAGAUGAAGUCCCUGAUCAAGUCACAGUAAGGCGAUGGCAAGGCUGGAAUCCAAACUUAGAUCGGUCUGCCUCCAAAGCCCAUGCUCUUUCUGUUCUCCCUACAACCUCCUGUGGAGAAAUGGGCAUAGCUGGGCCACAGGCCUGGGUGAACGGGCAGGGGGCAGCCAGCCCUGCAUCUCUGUCUCCCUCUGCAGUGGGAGACAUGGGGCUGCUUGAACAAUCAAAUUACAGACAGUGACUGAGGAGUCAGGAACAGUCAGGGCUUAGAUUAUCCUGGUGGGACUUCCCACAGUCUCCGUGACCCAGCGCAUGGCCCCUCCACCUGGACAGAUUCCUGCUGCUGGGGUGGGGGUAGCGGGCGUGUGCAGCUGGGUUUGCAGAGGGCUAGGAC
ensembl:lncRNA